UUUCAUCGGAGCAUAGCCUGUGAAUCGAAGUCGAACACAACCCUGACGUUGACGAAUACUAAUGAUGACAUGUCAUUAUAAUUACUCCUUUAUCCAGGUAAUUGCAUUCUUGGUCUCGAAAUGGAAAACACUCAGAGGAUCAGAGGCUACAGUCUCCAGACAUUUGCGAUUGUUGGGGCUGGACAAUGAACCCAAGCAACAGUGAAGCUAUGUGUCAGUUUUAUUUCAAUAUGGAUACAGCGUCUCAAUGGCAAAUGCAGGUUUGUUGGUUUCUGGGUCCUCCAGCAUCUGGAAAUUCAUAACCAGUAGAAUGUUUCGUAUUUGUUUCAGAAGAAUCGGUAUACCGAAUUUCCCAG
rnacentral:misc_RNA from 1 species